GGAACCCGCACAAGCGGUGGAGUAUGUUGUUUAAUUUCGAAGAUACACGAAGAACCUUACCAGGUCUUGACAUACCAUUGACAGGUCUAGAGAUAGACCCUCCUUCGGGCAAUGGAUACAGGUGGCGCAUGGUUGUCGUCAGCUCGUGCCGUGAGGUGUUGGGUUAAGUCCCGCAACGAGCGCAACCCUCAUUGUUAGUUACUACCAUUCAGUUGAGGACUCUAAUGAGACUGCCAACGACAAGUUGGAGGAAGGUGGGGAUGACGUCAAGUCCUCAUGGCCUUUAUGCCCAGGGCUACACACGUGCUACAAUGGGUGGUACAAAGAGAUGCCAACUCGCGAGAGCGCGCCAAUCUCAGAAAGCCAUCCUCAGUUCGGAUUGGAGUCUGCAACUCGACUCCAUGAAGUUGGAAUCGCUAGUAAUCGCGGAUCAGCACGCCGCGGUGAAUACGUUCCCGGGCCUU
rnacentral:rRNA from 1 species